rnacentral:rRNA from 1 species
UAACGCGUGAGGAACCUGCCUUUCAGUGGGGGACAACAGUUGGAAACGACUGCUAAUACCGCAUAAUGUAUUCUGACCGCAUGAUCGGAAUACCAAAGAUUUAUUGCUGAAAGAUGGCCUCGCGUCUGAUUAGAUAGUUGGUGAGGUAACGGCUCACCAAGUCGACGAUCAGUAGCCGGACUGAGAGGUUGAACGGCCACAUUGGGACUGAGAUACGGCCCAG